rnacentral:tRNA from 1 species
UAGGAGCCCAGUAGUAGAGCAUCUGCCUAGCAUGCAGAAGGCUCUAGGUUCAAGCCCCGGUCCUAA